rnacentral:rRNA from 1 species
ACAAGUGCAUGUGGUGGAUGCCUUGGCGAUCACAGGCGAUGAAGGACGCGGUAGCCUGCGAAAAGCUACGGGGAGCUGGCAAACGAGCUUUGAUCCGUAGAUGUCCGAAUGGGGAAACCCACUCCUUUUGGAGUAUCCAUGACUGAAUACAUAGGUCAUGUGAAGCGAACGCGGUGAACUGAAACAUCUAAGUAACCGCAGGAAAAGAAAUCAACCGAGAUUCCCAAAGUAGUGGCGAGCGAAAUGGGAAGAGCCUGUACUCUUUAUUUGUAUUGUUAGCCGAACGCUCUGGAAAGUGCGGCCAUAGCAGGUGAUAGCCCUGUAGGCGAAAACAGUAUGAAAGAACUAGGUGUACGACAAGUAGGGCGGGACACGUGAAAUCCUGUCUGAAGAUGGGGGGACCAUCCUCCAAGGCUAAAUACUCGUGAUCGACCGAUAGUGAACCAGUACCGUGAGGGAAAGGUGAAAAGAACCCCGGGAGGGGAGUGAAAUAGAUCCUGAAACCGCAUGCAUACAAACAGUCGGAGCCUCGUAAGGGGUGACGGCGUACCUUUUGUAUAAUGGGUCAGCGACUUACGUUCAGUAGCAAGCUUAACCGAAUAGGGCAGGCGUAGCGAAAGCGAGUCCGAAUAGGGCGUUCAGUUGCUGGGCGUAGACCCGAAACCAAGUGAUCUAUCCAUGGCCAGGAUGAAGGUGCGGUAACACGUACUGGAGGUCCGAACCCACUAACGUUGAAAAGUUAGGGGAUGAGCUGUGGAUAGGGGUGAAAGGCUAAACAAACUUGGAAAUAGCUGGUUCUCUCCGAAAACUAUUUAGGUAGUGCCUCGUGUCUCACCUUCGGGGGUAGAGCACUGUCAUGGUUGGGGGGUCUAUUGCAGAUUACCCCGCCAUAGCAAACUCCGAAUACCGAAGAGUGCAAUCACGGGAGACAGACAUCGGGUGCUAACGUCCGGUGUCAAGAGGGAAACAACCCAGACCGCCAGCUAAGGUCCCCAAAUAUGGCUAAGUGGGAAACGAAGUGGGAAGGCUAAAACAGUCAGGAGGUUGGCUUAGAAGCAGCCACCCUUUAAAGAAAGCGUAAUAGCUCACUGAUCGAGUCGUCCUGCGCGGAAGAUGUAACGGGGCUAAGCCAUAUACCGAAGCUGCGGAUGCGAGCUAGUCUCGCAUGGUAGGAGAGCGUUCCGUAAGCCUGCGAAGGUGCAUUGUAAAGUGUGCUGGAGGUAUCGGAAGUGCGAAUGCUGACAUGAGUAGCGAUAAAGGGGGUGAAAGGCCCCCUCGCCGUAAGCCCAAGGUUUCCUACGCAACGUUCAUCGGCGUAGGGUGAGUCGGCCCCUAAGGCGAGGCAGAAAUGCGUAGCUGAUGGGAAGCAGGUCAAUAUUCCUGCACCAUUGUUAAAUGCGAUGGGGGGACGGAUCGCGGAAGGUUGUCCGGGUGUUGGAAGUCCCGGUCGCUGCAUUGGAGAAGGCGCUUAGGCAAAUCCGGGCGCGGAAUUCAAGGGUGUGGCGCGAGCUUCUUCGGAAGCGAAGCAAUCGGAAGUGGUUCCAAGAAAAGCCUCUAAGCUUCAGUUUAACAGUGACCGUACCGCAAACCGACACAGGUGGGCGAGAUGAGUAUUCUAAGGCGCUUGAGAGAACUCGGGAGAAGGAACUCGGCAAAUUGGUACCGUAACUUCGGGAUAAGGUACGCCCCUGUAGCUUGACUGGCCUGCGCCAGAAGGGUGAAGGGGUUGCAAUAAACUGGUGGCUGCGACUGUUUAAUAAAAACACAGCACUCUGCAAACACGAAAGUGGACGUAUAGGGUGUGACGCCUGCCCGGUGCCGGAAGAUUAAAUGAUGGGGUGCAAGCUCUUGAUUGAAGUCCCGGUAAACGGCGGCCGUAACUAUAACGGUCCUAAGGUAGCGAAAUUCCUUGUCGGGUAAGUUCCGACCUGCACGAAUGGCGUAACGAUGGCCACACUGUCUCCUCCCGAGACUCAGCGAAGUUGAAGUGUUUGUGAUGAUGCAAUCUCCCCGCGGCUAGACGGAAAGACCCCAUGAACCUUUACUGUAGCUUUGCAUUGGACUUUGAACCGAUCUGUGUAGGAUAGGUGGGAGGCUAUGAAACCGGAACGCUAGUUUCGGUGGAGCCGUCCUUGAAAUACCACCCUGGUUUGUUUGAGGUUCUAACCUUGGCCCGUGAUCCGGGUCGGGGACAGUGCAUGGUAGGCAGUUUGACUGGGGCGGUCUCCUCCCAAAGUGUAACGGAGGAGUACGAAGGUACGCUAGGUACGGUCGGAAAUCGUGCUGAUAGUGCAAUGGCAUAAGCGUGCUUAACUGCGAGACCGACAAGUCGAGCAGGUGCGAAAGCAGGUCAUAGUGAUCCGGUGGUUCUGUAUGGAAGGGCCAUCGCUCAACGGAUAAAAGGUACUCUGGGGAUAACAGGCUGAUACCGCCCAAGAGUUCAUAUCGACGGCGGUGUUUGGCACCUCGAUGUCGGCUCAUCUCAUCCUGGGGCUGUAGCCGGUCCCAAGGGUAUGGCUGUUCGCCAUUUAAAGAGGUACGUGAGCUGGGUUUAAAACGUCGUGAGACAGUUUGGUCCCUAUCUGCCGUGGGCGUUGGAUAUUUGAAGGGGGCUGCUCCUAGUACGAGAGGACCGGAGUGGACGAACCUCUGGUGUACCGGUUGUCACGCCAGUGGCAUCGCCGGGUAGCUAUGUUCGGAAGAGAUAACCGCUGAAAGCAUCUAAGCGGGAAACUCGCCUUAAGAUGAGAUAUCCCCGGGGACUUGAUCCCCUUGAAGGGUCGUUCGAGACCAGGACGUUGAUAGGUCAGGUGUGUAAGCGCAGUAAUGCGUUCAGCUAACUGAUACUAAUUGCCCGUAAGGCUUGAUC